rnacentral:rRNA from 1 species
CCUACGGGGAGCAGCAGUGGGGAAUAUUGCACAAUGGGGGAAACCCUGAUGCAGCGACGCCGCGUGAGUGAAGAAGUAAUUCGUUAUGUAAAGCUCUAUCAGCAGGGAAGAAAAUGACGGUACCUGAGUAAGAAGCCCCGGCUAACUACGUACCAGCAGCCGCGGUAAUACGUAGGGGGCAAGCGUUAUCCGGAUUUACUGGGUGUAAAGGGAGCGUAGGCGGCAGUGCAAGUCUGGAGUGAAAGGCGUGGGAUCAACCCCCGGACUGCUCUGGAAACUGUACGGCUGGAGUGCAGGAGAGGUAAGUGGAAUUCCUGGUGUAGCGGUGAAAUGCGUAGAUAUUGGGAGGAACACCAGUGGCGAAGGCGGCUUGCUGGACUUUAACUGACGUUGAGGCUCGAAAGCGUGGGGAGCAAACAGGAUUAGAUACCCUUGUAGUC